rnacentral:lncRNA from 1 species
GUGAUGUGUUCACCAUGGUGGCCAAGGGACAUAUCAGCUCCAGUGAGCCGAGAAUGGAGGACAUGUGCUUCUUCAAAGGAAAAUGAACACUCAACCUGGAUGGAGCUGGAGGACAUUAUUCUAAGUGAAGUAAUUCAGUUUUCAGGUGAAGAUGAGUUGACCGAAGUGCAUGUGGCUGAUCCAGCUGUUGCACCCUCCAUCCAGUAUAACUUUUGUGCCGUUGCCUUUGGUGCAACCCCUUGACAUGAAACCACAGUUCUUCCAAUAAGCAGAGUGAAUGUGAACACAUGUUGGCAGAACUGUGCCAUUUACAAAGGAAGUGGUGAGAUAUUACUGAGGAAAAGCUAGACAAUGCUGCACCAGCAAUCUGAUCCCGCUCAUUCUUUCUCCAAAAUGUAGUUUCCAACUCUGCAGGAGUAGUGGCUGUGAAAUACAUGGGAAAGAGUUUGAAAAGUAUGUAUCCCACAUUUCACAGCACUUUCCAGGAUUUUACAUUUCAGUAUAGACAAAAGUAAGUGUAUAAUGCUUGUAAAUAAAAUUUACAAACCAAACA